ACAAUCUUUAUUCGGUACGCAAGUACACGCACGCACGCAACACACACGAACACCGUACGCACACACAGCGACCCAUCCGCACUCUCGGCCUCGAUCGAUCGGUCCGGCUUGAACCACCGACGAUCCACACCAACAAUCGCGUACGUACGUGACCAUCAAUCGACCAAUCGGCCGGACCUCAAUCACCGGCCAUCACCACCGGGGCACCACGAGACCCUUGCUCAAGCACGAGCACCCACAACCGCAAACUCGCGGCCUUUGGAGGACACAGGUGGACACAGAAGAAGAAAGGAAGAAGAAGAUGGAGCCAGACGUCGUCUUGUUCUCUCGACACUCUCCAUCCGCUCUCGAUCCCGAUCAGCCGUUGUUGUUAACCAUAGUCUCGUAGCCCAAGCCUCCUCGAGCGGCCACUACCGCGAGCAGGGCACGCCGCCGCCUCGUGCCACUGCGGCACGCACGCCCCUCGCGCCGCCUGGACGCGCCACCGCGUCUCCGACGCCACCGCGCCGCGCCGAGCCGCCUCCCUCCCGGUUCGAGGCCCUGUGC
rnacentral:rRNA from 1 species